rnacentral:rRNA from 1 species
UACGUAGGGUGCGAGCGUUAAUCGGAAUUACUGGGCGUAAAGCGUGCGCAGGCGGUCUGUUAAGACAGAUGUGAAAUCCCCGGGCUUAACCUGGGAACUGCAUUUGUGACUGGCAGGCUAGAGUAUGGCAGAGGGGGGUAGAAUUCCACGUGUAGCAGUGAAAUGCGUAGAGAUGUGGAGGAAUACCGAUGGCGAAGGCAGCCCCCUGGGCCAAUACUGACGCUCAUGCACGAAAGCGUGGGGAGCAAACGAGGAU